GCCGGGUGUGGUGGCACACACCUGUAAUUCCAGCAACAGAGAAGGCUGAGGCAGAAGGGUCACAAGUUGGAGGCCAGCCUCAGAACCUUAGCGAAGCCCUAAGCAACUUAGCAAGACCCUGUCUCAA
rnacentral:sRNA from 1 species